CGUGAUCCGCAAUCAUGCGACGCGUCGACCCCAGCCACCGCGCGUGCCGGAAGCUACAUCCAUCGCCCCUCCACUCCAACCAUCACCUCGACAACUGGCGCAACAUUUCCUCUGCUCCGGCACGACCUUCCCCCAUCCGGCGUGACCUUCCCUCCCCACCGGCGUGGACUGCCAUCUGCUCUGGUGUGCCCUCCCGGUCCUCCACAGCCCCAUCCCCAUCCUCCCUCGAACAUCUUCCUCCCGCCACCUAUGCCAUCUUCGUCCUUCCUCCCGCCGUUCAACUACAGCAACUCGCACCAUUCAACUAAAUCACCUAAUGCCUCCCAUCUCUAAUUUCUCCUCAGCCAGCAGCGGAAACGCCGGCAACCGAGCCAUCUCCUCUAGAUGCUCUGUGUGCAGCCGCUGGCUUCUCGCAUGCCAUCGAUGUGCCUUCUUCCUCCUGUGCACGAUGGACUUCCUCCCGCGCAUCCUGUGACCUUCUUACUCCCGUGCGGCUGCUAGCUAGCACUUGCAAUCUCGCCGACCCAUUGUCCGAUGCCGCUUCAGAUCCCUUUGGUACCGUUGCUUGAGAGCCCUGUGGUGUUGCUGCAAUUGCUUCAAAUUUUGACUUGUGCUACUACAUGUCUACUGGUUCCUUCCUCCAUCUGAUGUCGCUCAUGCUGUUGUUGUUCAACAUCACGCCGUUGUAGAGGGUACAUGGCAGGUCGAGUUGAUUUCUCAUGGUCGUUCAAAUAGAAAACUAAAGUCUGGGUGUUGCUAGGUACAUUCAGAGUAAGACGUUUACAUUUUUCUUCAGGAAGACAUUUGUAAGUCUGAACAUCGUGUUCCUUUUUCUUCAGGAAGACAUUUGCUUUAAAAAGAACUACAUCUCGUCAGAUCACUUAUAAAAUAAGAUGAGUGCACUAACAUAUGUAGGCCUCGGAUGCAUCCAUGUGGAAUUGUAUGAAAAAAGGAAGGAACUGUCUAGGUGGAUGAGAAGUUCAAGUUGAAAUCUCCCCUACACACACUUUGAUUUUUAUUUCCAUGUAUUCAGUUUUUAGAUGUUCUACAGUCUCUGAACAAAAUCUGUUCUUUCAUCCACAAAACUUGUUUACAGUCCUGGAUCAGUAAUCACACAUUAAUUUUUACUAUUUCUGCAUUACACAGAAAAUGAAGGUGCCCUCCUAGCCAUGGUGAAAUCUUCCCCAUCCCUGAUGAACAGCGGCAACCUCGAUUUACGACUCGCAGUUUGCAAUCGUCGCAUGGUAAAGUUUUCAUUCCAAGUUUCUGUUCACAUGACAUUAUUUUUAUUGACAUUGUGGUAGGGAAAAAUAGUAUGUGUCAUCGAAAAUCCUUGGGCGCUACUGUGGACUCGAGUAUCCUACAUAGGCAUGAUAUUCAAUAUUUACUUUAACUAUUACAUUGAGAUACUGAACCACUUGAUCCUCAAUGCUCGUGCCCGAUCCCAACCUGCUGUCCCUGAAGACCGCAUAUACAUUGCAGUCGCCCCUACCCGUGCGCCACUGCUGUAACCUGCACCCUGCAAAAAAAAUGCAAGUUCAAAUUCAGAUAAACAAGAAGUUAAAAAGGUAUUGCCUUCACUCAUGUUGUUUUGCCAACGAUCUUUAGUUUGUUCAGUAGCUCGUAAACAAUUGCCAAAAGCUCGUAACUUCAGAAUCAUAAGUUGAUAGUUUGCCUACAGGGACAACCAUGCUGAUGGUGAUUGAAGAACAAUUCUGAAUUAUUAUUAUUGAGCCUGAAGGCCACGUUUUAUGCACGAUGUGGCAGGAUUCUAGGGAUUGUUUUGAGGCGGUCGAUGGCUUUUGAGAGAUGUGUUCAUACUUACAAGUUUGAAGGGGUUCAAAGCUCAUUUAUACAAGGAGGAAUGGCAAUUUGGUUGCACAUCUGUUUGCGAAAAAGAGCACUAAAACUAGAUGUACUUUCUAUUUCUUUAUUUGUAACCCCC
rnacentral:rRNA from 1 species